GUUGACCUCGGAUCACGUAGGAAUACCCGCUGAACUU
rnacentral:rRNA from 1 species